rnacentral:rRNA from 1 species
AUGAACGCUGGCGGCGUGCCUAAUACCUGCAAGUCGAGCGAACGGACGAGAAGCUUGCUUCUCUGAUGUUAGCGGCGGACGGGUGAGUAACACGUGGAUAACCUACCUAUAAGACUGGGAUAACUUCGGGAAACCGGAGCUAAUACCGGAUAAUAUUUUGAACCGCAUGGUUCAAAAGUGAAAGACGGUCUUGCUGUCACUUAUAGAUGGAUCCGCGCUGCAUUAGCUAGUUGGUAAGGUAACGGCUUACCAAGGCAACGAUGCAUAGCCGACCUGAGAGGGUGAUCGGCCACACUGGAACUGAGACACGGUCCAGACUCCUACGGGAGGCAGCAGUAGGGAAUCUUCCGCAAUGGGCGAAAGCCUGACGGAGCAACGCCGCGUGAGUGAUGAAGGCCUUCGGAUCGUAAAACUCUGUUAUUAGGGAAGAACAUAUGUGUAAGUAACUGUGCACAUCUUGACGGUACCUAAUCAGAAAGCCACGGCUAACUACGUG